GCCGUGGUAUACGUGGUUUCUGAGGUUUCUGUUAUAAUAACUCUUGCACUGAAGGUUGAAUCAGUCUUUGGAUAGUGAUAGAAAUGAGAGGUGCAGUAAGCUUAAAAAAUCCAAUGAUUUGCUUUCUUCUUCUAACACUCCUAUCGCCUUUGAUGCAAAUAAACUUUGACAUUCACGUUGUAGCUGUUGAAUGGCACUACUUAAGCAGAGUAGAAGAAAUCCAGGGAGAAGUAUAUUAAGAUACUAUUCAGAAGACACUAAUUAUCUAAUUUAUUAACUUGACUGUUUAGUUAAUGUCAGAUGCUUCAGUAAGUGUUACUAGACAGUGUGAAAUGAGUGCUAUGAGGUAUUUGACUAAGCUACAGGAAUGAAUACCUUCUGAACUUCUGCUCCAUUGGCAGUGUUUCAUAGUUUAACUCACUUCAUCCUGGCUAAUGUAACUGCAAAUGUUGGUUUUAGUCAUGGCAUUUUUCUUUUUUUUUUUUUUAUUACUUGCUGAACUCCCUGGCUAUGGAACUCAUUAACUGUGUCUUUAUACAACCUAUAAUCUGACUUAUUAGCAGUGUUUUCUUGAGCUUUCUGGAGGACACUUUAGCUCUUGAUUAUGAGCUGCAGAAAAAAGAAAUCGUAACUAUGCUGUGUGGGCAUUUUCCCCCAGUGCCAUUCUGUUCUUCCUAAACAGUCCUUGUCUUCUCAACCGUUGCAGAUUUAUCUGAUUCUGCAAUCAGAGGAUAAAAGCAAAGUUUAUUGGAAGGUACUUGGCUCUUCUACUUUCAGUACUAUUUAUUUUUUGUCUUGCAUUGGGGGCCACUGAACCCUUUAGCCCAGUAGAAGUGUGCAGAGUUGCCCCAGCCCCAACCAGUAGCAAGACUAAGCAUGUAAUCCCACUAGGUCUGGGGUGAUCAAGCACAGGGCUUGGCCAAGCAAGUACUACUAACCAGCUUGAUCCCUUUAUCUUCCUAUUUUCCCAUGCAUGUUCUUCCCCAAACCACCUUGAUCCCUCCCUUUCAGUGCUUUUGGUUCCUCCCCUAACAUCUCAUACUAGAUCUUGUACAACUCCCAGAUGCUUGUUCCUGUAUCCCGUGUCUCAUUACUCCCUAAGCAGUAAUCCCCAACAGUCUGAACCAUCAACAGACCGUGUUGUGAAGUAAGUUCAAGUUAUCAAAAUGUGAGUACAAGUUAUAAAAAUGAGUUGCAGAUCUUGGAAGAUACCUCAUGAGACAGCCUCAUGAGAUCGUGUAAUUACCAUUUAGUUUUGGGCGUAUGCUGGACUCUCACAAGAGGGAAACACAAAGUUUCUGCUUGCCUUUUGUUUUCUUCUGUUCCAGUGCAGUGCUAUAUCGGAUCAAAGGGUUGCUUGAGCUGGAUGCAACCAAGUUUAAUUCAAAACAGAGAGCAGUGCAGCUCUGUUGUUCAGUACAGCACUCUCCCUGGUGAAUGUGCUAGCCUGCUCAGAACUAGCUAGCUCAAGGUGUUCUACCUUAUUCUCCCUUACAAAGUGUAGACAUAACCCUCACCGUUAGUCUUUAGCAUCACUUUCUUGAUGCCGCAGAAUAGGAACAAACGCAUUUCCUACUUGGGGAUUUCUUAAGUUCUUUAAACAUUGUGGAGUCUUUCUGUAUGAUAGGUUUCAUUUUUGGACAUUUGUAGAUUAAAGUCUGCAUCACAAAUUAUAGUGAAGUUUCGAAUUAUUGAUUGCAUUUGUCUCAAUGGUAGGCUGCUGUCUACAUUUCCCUAAAAGAUGUAUAUACAUGGUACUGAGGCUUGAAUAUUUCAUCUUUGCAGUGUCUGUAGGGGGUAUGUGGAUGCAUUACCUUGUCACGUAUGAAAUGGGAUGCACAUUUGCUGUCAUUAACUGCCUCACAGCUGAGGACGUGCUCUGUGGAGGCUGUUCAGGACUUUUUUUUUCUUUUCAGUUUACUUUUCAGUUCUGUGCUUACCAUCUUGACAAAUAUUUUUCUAGUCUUUACCAAAAACUGCCUUUCAGCACUGUGCGGCAUGCAGUGACAUGUGGUCCUUUGACCUGAGUAUGAGUAGCUUGAGUGUGUGGUGUAUAUCUGCUUGUUCUAGCAUUUACUAAUCAAUUAAAAGCAAUAUGAACAUAGAAAUGAAUCUAUCCUCCAUGCUUCUUUAGAGGGGGUGGCCUCAGAUCCCCACACCUCCCUUGAGAAGACUGGGGAAUGCUUGGACAAUGCUGCAGCAUUCUUAGAACAUUUUGGAUCACCACAAGGCUUUGGCAAGCAUUUAGAAUUAUGCUCCCCUCACCAUGCUCCUCUGACCACUCUGAAGCUAUUUAGCCCAGAAAUAAUUUUUUAGAUCUAAUUUUGGUUUCAGACGCUUUGGCUUUGGACUCACUUGGCUUUGUUCUGCCCAAUCUUAGCCCAAGCAGAGGAUUUCAUGAUGUCUCCUAUCUCCUAUUUUACUAGUGAAAGCUGCACCUAACCACCUGAUCUUAGCCAAUAGGACUGUUACUGAAAUGCCUGAAGACCAUGGUUUCAAUGGUUUCACUGCUAGUCAGAUCGCCAUCCUGAUGUGUGCUAGAAGAUCUCUGCACUGGACUCCACAUAGAACCUGCCCAGCAAUCCUGUCAGCAGGCCCCCACCCAUGUUAGAGCAUGGGGUUUUUUGAGUGAUUAUUUUUUGACUUGUGCCAAGUGUUGUGAUGGCUUUCCAUUCUUCUGUAUCUCCUCCUGGACAUCAUCUUCUCUCUCAAUUUCAGGUGAUGCAAAUAUCUGUUAAAAACAGGAGGUGAAGUAGACUUGCCAGAAUGUACCCUUGCUUCUUUUGAUAUAUGAAUUUAGGAUGCUGCAUACAAGCCAUGCUGGUUUCUGUACUUCUCAAAAGGUAGAAUUUGAUGAGAGGCGUCCAUUAAUUUUCCAGGCUAGUUUAUAAACCUGUGAGCUGCCAUGCAGAACUUCGUGUAUUAGAAAUUCCUUGUUAGUCACUGGAGGACUUAUGGAAGGAUUCUGUUGCAAGGAAACUCUUGGGUAAACUCCCCUUUACUGUCCAGAAAAUUUAGCUCAUUGUGCUGUGGAUGAUCAAUGCUUAUUCCAUGAAUUCAUCAUAAGAAUUUCUCUGGAGGAAAUAACUUUUUUUGUCCUUUGACUUGUGACUUGGAUUUCAUUCUGCAAUGGCAAUACUUCUGUGGACCUGGCCAGGGUGAUUUGGAAGACUCCUUCGUGCCUCCCACAGCUGAAAAACCUGAUGGGAAGUAUCAGCACUGACAUGGACAGAAUUCUUAUGUGCUUUCCCCUUGCUGUCAUUUGUUAGUUGCUUUGUAGAAAACCAAGCAAGCUACAUUUAGAGAUUGCAGCAUUUACAUCUGCCAUCUGGCCAAAUAGCCAUUAGUUUAUUUGCAAGUGUGUUGAAAUAGUCCAAAUAAGAUAAUAAUAUACUUUUGAGAGAAAACAAGCUUGAAAGUGAAGACCUGAAAGUUGCUAUGAAAAUUGGAAUUGGGAAAGGGUUCACUUUGAGUUGUGCACUUUGAUCCUGACAGAAGAAAUCCCUGAUUGAAGUGAUGUCAGGGAAUCGAGAAGAACAGAGAGAGAGAUUUGGAGCAAGGAACUGAUUUCAACAUAAGAAGGGUCUCAUAUGUAUUUUAUAACUGCCUUGUCUAUUCUGGAUAUGUGUAAAAUUGUGUUAAAUUUUAUUUACCUUAGCCUAGUUUCAGAGUGAGUAUUAAUUUGGAGGUUGUUAUAUAUAUGCCAGAUUGCAAACCCUUGCUUUUUUCCAAAAAUAGAAGGCUUGGCAUUAGAAAUGAUGGACAAUUUCCAUUGUUAACCAGGAAUUCUUGCUUAUCUCCUGGCUCUUCCUUUCUGGAGGAGGAAUUGCUUUUCUUCUAUCUGUCAGUAUGUUAACGUCAUAUGAAUGGUUGUGGUUGUGUAUUGCCUCUCACAAGUGUUCCAGGCUAGGCAGAAGCUGGAGAUUGGACAGAUUGCCUUUCUCUUAUACACAGUGUCCCUCCCUGUCCCCUGUCCCUUUUUAGGAACUCUCCUUGAAUGCAUCUGCUUCACUUAAGAGUAGACACAGUGUUGACAUAGAUAUUUAAAGAAUCUGUAGUUCAGAAAAAGAAAGCAACUUUGCAGCUUUCUUUCUACUCUCUGAGCAGAAAAAGAGACAGCCUAUCUGGGACCUAAAUGCAAAUUUCAUUUUUGUCAUAAAGUGAUCUACCUCCUGAUACCAGAACUACUCAGGUUCACAACUGCUGAGUUAAAAGAUGCUUAUCCUCAGGUUCAUAACCCUUGAGUUAUGUUUCUCCUUAUAUCCCUUCAUAGUAAAUCCAUACAAUGCUUGGUAAAUCUGAACCAUUAGUAAAUGAAAACCUGUCUGGGCUCUUUUUUUCUUUGGUAGCUUUUCCUAAGGCACUGACCUUUUUUUGUGUUAUCUGUUCUUAGUUGAAGUGGGAGACUGCUAUUCACAUCUUUGAAUGAUAGAUUAAUAGAAGCUCAGGUGAAUGAAUGGUCUUUCAUUAUCUUCAGACUGCUUUUCAUUUCUUCAAGUUAUUAGCUCUUGAGCAUCUAUCCAAUCCGCAGUGUGCUGGCAUGGCUGGAUUCUGCUGGCAGCAAGAAAUGUUCCCUUAAGCCAGAUUCAGGGUCCUUGUUGACAUGUUUCAUUAUUGAAACACUUUCAUUAUUACCCUGCUGAGACAUUCCUUAACAGUUCUUCAUCAUCUGGCAGCAUGAAUUCUCAUAAUUGGAAGUCUGUAGGCUUGCUCAGGACUAUGUAUAUUCUAGGCAAACAUCUCAGUAAAUCACAAGUGAUGCUCCUCUUUGAUGUAAGACAGUACCUCAUGUUUGAAACUGAAGCUACAUAGUAACAAAUUGAACCUCCUGCCACUUUUUAAAAUAUGUAUGGCAACCUUGAAGGAAUAACAAAAAAAAGCUUUGAGAAGGUGGUAGCAGACAGAUAUUUUAAUAAACAGAAUCACAGAAUAUGCCGAGUUGGAAAGGUUCCACAAGGAUCAUGGAGUCCAACUCCUGACCCUGCACAGGACCAUCCCCAAGAGUCAUACCAUGUGCUUGAGAGUAUCAUCCAGGCACUUCUUGAACUCUCUCAGGCUUGGUGCUGUGACCACUGAUUUUGGGCUGUCUCAUAGUCAGCACCUUUUGCCUGGUGCCCUGUGUGCUGGGUAAGCCUUGGUGUUACAGCUGAGUUAUGUCCCUUGGUUAAAAGGUGCUAGGUAGUAGCCUGUAACAGAACUUAGCUGGCUAAGGGGACCAAGUUUUUUGCCUCAAAAGUGUUCUCACCUGGGUAGUUAGCUGUACUGAUUGUAUGAAUCUGUCUGCAUGUAAGGAGUCCUGUUUCCUUAUCUGACUGCUGUGUUUGGAGUGUGUGUCUUUGGCUCGUUAUUCCCCAGUAAGCACAGCCUUGGUAUUCAUGUACUCUGCUCUCCUGGAAUGCCCAAAGGAGCCUCUGUGGAGCCCAGCACCAACUUGAUGCCUGAGCAUAUUUAGUUUCCUUGUAUGCAGGAAAGCUAGCAGAAUUAGGGCUAUGUAGUGAUGCAGACAGUUGUUUCAGAAGUAAAUGCUAAUCUCAACAGGGUCUUUGCUUGUGUUUGAUUUGUUUAUGUGGCUAAAAAUGUGGGGUAAAUUUUCUGGUCUUUUGCACUGAUCUUUCUAGUAUGAUAAAGGAAGGGAAAACAGUAAAUUGUGAGCACAGGGAUGUAGCUCCUGUGGCUUGUGAAAUACCACUCAUAUCUCAUCUCUUCUCUGCAUACCUUCAAAAUCUUUCAAACUCAGCUUCCAAAUAUAGCUCAAUACAUAGGCAGGGAGGUAGUGUCAAACUGUGGCAGAUUAGCAAAGGGAAGUACAGAGUCCUGCCCCUGGGGAGGAGUAACCCCAGGCACCAGGACAUGCUGGUGACCGACUGGCUGGAGUGCAACUUUGCAGAAAAGGCUCUGAGAGUCUUGGUGGACAUCCAGUUGACCAUGAGCCAGCAAUGGGCCCUUGUAGUAAAAAAGACAAACAGCCUCCUGGGCUAUGUUAGGAAGAAAGUUGUCAGCAGAUUGAGGGAGAUGAUUUUUCCCCUCGGCUCAGCCCUGGUGAAACCACAUGUAGAGUUCUGUGCCCAGUGCUGGGCUGGCUCCCCAGUAGAAGAAAGACAUGGACUUACUGGGAUGAGACCAUUGAAGGGUCAUGAUGAUGAUUAAGGGCUUGGAGCAUCUUUCAUGAGAGAGCCUGAGAUAGCUGGAGUAUUCAGCUUGUAGGACAGCAGGUGAAAGAUACCUUUCCAAUGUGUAAAAAUACACACUGGAAUAAAUAAAGAAGGCAGAAAUUCUUCUUGAUGAAGUCCAGUCAAAGGACAAGAGGCAGUGGACACAAACUAAAAUAACCAUAAAUUCUAUUUAAUCAAAGAAAGCACUUCUUUUACUGUGAGGAUGGUAAAACACUGGAGCAGGUUACUCGGGUUUAUCCUUGGAGACUGAACAUGGCCUGAAGCAAUUUGCCAUUGUGGUCUCUGCUUUGAUCAGGGCAGUUUGACUGGACUGAAGAGGUCCCUUCCCACCUGUGAUUCUGGGAGCUAAAGAUUUCUUAAAGUGGUCACUCAGACAUCUCUGCUAAUUAGAGAAUGGAAGAAUUGCUACAUUCCAGAUGGCAUAAAUGGCAUCCUGGGAUUUUGUGGAUUGACAUGUGACAUCCCAAAUUAGUGAUGCUUCUAAUCACCACACAUUUACACUGGUUACAUUAUGGAAAUAUUAUUUCAAGAACUGCUUGAAGGUAAUAUAGGGUCUUGAAUUUGGAAGUCUUCUGCACUGUAACUAUUGCACCAUCCUUUUUGUUUCUAGACACACUGACCGGAAUGUCCUAUGUACCUAGAGCUGUAAUAAUGAGCCGUAAUUUAAUAGUGCUGCAGCAGUUUGCUUCAACUAGUUUUUAAUUAGUUCUUUGUUACUGACUCAUGUAGGUAUACAGCUUGUUCUCUCAGCAGGCUCUUUUCCAUUACUUUACCUGUUGUGUUAAAAGCUCAGGCACAGACCAGCUCUUUAUCAUAGUUAGAGGGAUUUAUAUCUACACUUUAAUUAAUGUUGAGGAUAUCUGAGUACCAGUUUCGUCUGAAGUGCCCUGAUUAACUGUCUUCUAGAUAGCCAGAGAAAACUGUAUCAGGGAUUUCAUACUUCACUAAAGCAAAGGGAGAAAUAAGCCUUUUAAAUCCUGGCAUAUUUGUUACGUAGUAAUGGUGAAUAAGUAUGGCCAUAUUAAAAAAAAAUUAUAGUUUUCCAUCUUGAAAAGUAAUGUAGACUUUAAGACAGCUGUUUCAUUUAAAACAUUCAUGCACUCAGAUGCAGAAGUGAGAGGAAAGAGAAGUAGAGAAUGAUCACUGUAAUCUGCAGAAGAGUUUAAUAGGUUUCAUUUACUUUCCUGGAGGGUCACAGAUCAUCUUCAGUGUAAGUCAUGGAUAAAUGGACACGGCAUCUUGCCAUGUUGAACUUCAGUUUCAGGAAAGACCAGCAGUGUGCUUUGUUCUGUGUUGACACACUGCCCUUUGGAAGAGAAAUUUAAACUCUCAGUUUAAGUGCAGAGGGAUUUUAAAAUAUAUUUUUCUAUCCAUGUGCACAGGCCAAGAGUGUUUAGUGUUGCUAUUUGGUAAGCUGCAGCAGACAUCAGGUGCUUCAGUGCUAUCAAUCAACAAUGGUCUGCAAGAAAAGAUCAGCAUUCUUUCAUAGUUACCUUUUAUAUUUAUUUUGUCUCUCAAGUAAAUUAAAAAGUUCAGAUUUAGGAAGAAAGUUCUAAAAGUUCUUCUAAACUCUGAUUACUUCUGAAGUACAACUGUCAUUGAUUGUGUAUGUAAAUGUGCAUAGAAAGUGGCUGUAUGCUUCCUUCUCUCACACUUGAGAAUCAUCACCAGUAUAUGUAGGUAAUUAAUGCGUUAUCAGCUACUGCUUUAAUUGGUUUUGUGGCUUUAAAUUCAGAAGGUAUGCUUUAAAUAGUAUUUACUUACUACUGUGUACUUUUUGAAAGAAGCAAAAUUACUGAACUCUACAGCUUUCACAGUCAAAUGUGAUAUGACUGGACGCAACAGAUUCAGUAAGUCUUAAUAUUCCAACUCCCCCAAAUAACAAAUUUGUAGGCAUACCAGUUGGCCUCUGUUGGUUUCCUGGAACAGAGUAAGUUCCAUGGGAAAAGGCUGGCUGCUUAAUUUAUUUUUUUUUUCCUAGAGAGCAUGGACAAACUUCUAACCUUGUUGGGCUGCUCUUUCAGCCUAAUGAUGUUCCAGCAUUUGAGUCCUUCAGAUUCAAGCUAUGGUUGGAUCUAGUUCACAGAACAACAGUUACGCUGUAUGGAAUUGUCUGGUCCAUGACCUGACAUAUGGGAUGUGUUAAACUGAGGUCCAAGUGCAAUGAUGAUAUCACCAGCAAAGUGCAGUAGUAUCAAUGUCAGGAGUGUGGACUAGUGAGUUGCUGAAUUUUGGAGCGGAACACUGCCUCAUGUCCCUGUAUUUUUUUAACCCUUUUAAAAAAAAAAGAAGUGACAUUUUGCUGAUGUAGAUUUACAUUGCCCUUGUCCUCAGUGGUGCUUCUGCUCAGCUGUGGUGCUGUCAAUCACUGUGGAGGACUGGCUGUUCUCUGUUAUUCAUGCUUUAUUCACAAGGUAUUUUUCACUUGCUUCUGUCAACAAGCUUCUUGCAUUUUGUGCUUUGUUAUGCCAUGAAUGAGUCUUCUAUUCAUACUGUAUUAUUACUGACCCCUACUUGAACUUUCUUCCUCUCUUCUACAUAUAUAUAUUAUUUGACUUUUCCACUGUGACAGGGAGUAAGAAAGGAAACGACAUAUUGCAGACUCAGAAAGAAUUAUAGUCUUAACUUCUAGCAGAAGUGUAUGUUUUGGCUCUUGAAAAUGAGAACAGGGUUUCAUACCAAGGGGAGGCAAAAUAUCAAAUGUGUUUCUGCAAAACAUAUCAUGAUUGAAUGCAAAUUGCACUGGUUUGUCUAAGGCACUGAGUCCUCCCAUGUAGCAGUGCCUAUAUUUGCUGCUUCUCCUUUUGACUUUCAAGGAACUUUGAAAGAGUAGUUGUAUUAACUCCAAGGGUCAAAGAACCACUACUCUAGUUUAAAAGUCAUAGUUUUGUAUUUCUGUCUAAGUAAGGCUUGCAGGGUUUUUUUUGUCCAACUUUUGUUUUUUGCCAUUGCUCACUUGCUCACUGAAUGCAUGUAUGAAGGAACAGCCAUGGGUAGAAAAUGCACCAACGGAGAGGUGGUCGGUGUUUCCAGAAGCCUGCAGACCCUGCUGUGCUCUGUGCAGCCCCUGCCCUGCCAGAGCCCCUCCCAGGCCUCACUGCACUCCAUUCCCUUUAAUAGGAUGUCUCAAGGGUCAUGUUUUGCAGGCUCUUAUAACUCUCCCUCUAUCCCAGGAAAUUCUAGCUGGAUCUUUUUUUUUCAGUAUUGCCAUCAUUGGCUUCACUCUCAGCCAAAUUUUGGCAUGGUCUUGAUAGUGCUGUAGCACUUGCAUAUUGGAAGUGCAAGCAAAAGCAUCACCUUUAGCAUCUGGGGCUUGAAGAAUCAAAAGUAGGAAACUUAACUUGGUAGAUGCAAAGCUCCUUCAAUGCUGGCUAUUCUUCAGAAGGUUUCCCUGAAAAAAGGAACAAAAAUUCUUGAUGAUGAUAUGAUUUUUGGCAACACUGAAGCAGAUUUUGUGCAAAUACCUUGCCAUAAAACAUUGCUGGUAGCCUUUAGUUUUAUGCUGGUGCCUUUGAAGGUGUAAUUUUGAACCUGUUCCUUCAUCUGUGACAAGCAGAAAUGAGCAGACCAAGACCCUGCCUCCUCAAUUAGCUUCCUGGCAGAGUGGAAAGUUCCUUCUGCCAAGUAAUGCUAGGAAGACUGUAUAUUUGUUAUAGAAAGUCCAUUAAUUUACUUUCUCCCCAUAAAAAUUCUCCACCAGUUGUAGGUGGAUGCACUGAAGACAGCUGCUGUUGUAAAAUAUAUAAGCUCUUCUAACUUUGUGAUAUGUGCAAUUCUGUUAUUUUUGCUUACCUAAAAAUCACAGGCUCUGUUAUUGUUUGUUGUGGAAUGCAGCACUUGAAGUAUAAUAAUGCUUUCUAAAUAACAUUUGGAAACACUAUGCAAAAUUGGGUAAUACCUGAUCUCUUCCCUGCUGUCCUGCUCUUGGAAGUGGGAACUUUCUACAAUUCUUUUAAAUACAACAAGGAGAAAACAUAAGCAAAUAGUGGGUGUACAGAAGUAACAAAACCUAAAUGUUUUAUGCAGAAAAGAUUCAACAAGUAUCUCCCACCUACGAAGAACGAAUCAAAUUUUCACACUGUGACCUUGCAGUACAAUCUUGGAUCAAACCACAUGUUUCUUUAACAAAAAAAUAAUUGCAUUAUACUAUUUGCUCUGAUCUGAUGAUGUGGAAAUAAAAUAUUGAAAGGAA